UUUUUUUGCUGACUGAUUUGCAUGGGUCCCUCCAGCCCAGCCUAGCUGCUCAGAAAUUUUAAACCAGGCCUUUGCAGCAAGAACUGCAUCAGACAGCAGGUAGAGCAAGAUGAAGUCACAGACACAGGUCCUCAUGUCCAUGCUGCUCUGGGUGUCUGGUGCCUGUGGAGAAAUUGUGAUGACUCAGUCUCCAUCCUUUCUCGCUGUAUCAGGAGGAGAGAAGGUCACCAUCAACUGUAGAUCCAGUCAGAGCCUUUUAUACAGUAAAAACCAGAAGAACUACUUGGUCUGGUUCCAACAGAAACCGGGGCAGUCUCCUAAACUGCUGAUCUACUGGGCAUCCACUCGGCACACUGGGGUCCCUGAUCGCUUCAUAGGCAGUGGAUCUGGGACAGAUUUCACUCUCACCAUCAGCAGUGUUCAGGCUGAAGACAUGGCAGAUUACUACUGUAUGCAGAAUUAUGAUACUCCUCCCACAGUGCUUCAGCCUCCAACAGAAACCUCUUCUGAGAGUCUCACCAGCUGCUUGCACCACACACAGCCCUGGACUUUCAUACUUCUCCUUCCAGCCUGAGGCCCGCAUGUCUAAAACAAUGAUAAAGAAGUCUGCAGAGUCCAGCAAAAAUGAUGGGUUCAAUGUCUCAUGCCUUUUUGUGUGAAAAUCCUUUACACAAAAAUCUAAAAAGGAGCCCAGUAUCAUCUUUCUAUUCCUUCUGUAACAAUUUACCAUGAAUUUUGUUGCUUAAAUAUUGGAGAUCUAUCUUUUUAUCAUUCUGGAAUUCUAGUAUCCAACAUAAAACUCCAUGGGAUGAAAUGAUAAUGAUGGCAAGCUAUGUUUCAGUUUGGAGCUCUAGGGAAUAUUUCUUGCUUUUUCUGGCUUCUAGAGAACUUUCCUACUUCUUUCCCUCUGUUCAUUACUUUAGUAUUUUCUUUUCUAAUUUUUUAUUUAUAAUUGCAUUUUAAUUACAAUUUCAUUAGUUUCUGUGAAUGUAUGCACAUGUAUGUACAUAUACAAGUGCUAUGACAAAUUUUUGGACAUCACAGGAAACUUUUGAGUGGAUUCUCUUGCCAUUUGGGUUCUGGAGAUAAAACUUGGGUCUGACUUCAGGCUUUGUGUCUUUGAAGUCUAAGUGAUUUUGCUGCACAUUAUUACUGUCAGAACGAUUAUAGUUAUCCAGUGCUUUAGCAUCUAACAAAAACCCCCUCUGAGAGUCUCAGCAGCUUCCUGCAUCGUGCACAGCCCAGGACAUGAAGACUUCCCCAUUCUUCUUGAGAGCCAGUGUGUUUGAAACACUAAUCAAACAUUUGCAGAGUGCAUCAAAAAUAAAUGUUUGCAUGUAACUUAAGUCUUUCAUUAUGAAAAAUCUUUAUUUGAAAAUGCAAAAAAGUACUCAGUAUUAACUUUCUAGUCCUCCUGUAACACACUACCACAAACUCUAUCCUUGAACAUGAGGGAUUUACCUUUUUAUAGUUGUGCAGUUUUAAUAUCCAACAGAAGAAAAAAUAUUUGGGCUGAAGUAAUGAUGAUGGCAAACUCCAUCUUGGUUUGGAGACACUAGUAAGGAAUAAGUUUUUUGCUUUUUGUACCUUCCAGAGGGAAUUCUUUCUUAUGUGUGCCCAUUUAUUCUGAUUUUUCUUCUCUUUUUAUAAUUUUUAACAUGUAUUAAAUUAUAAAUAAUUAAUUUUGUGGGUCCAAGCACAUAUGAGUGUAUCUGUGUGCAUGUGUGUAUGUGUGCAUGUAUGUGCCUACUUGCAUGUUUAGGUAUACAUGUACAUGACAUGUUUGAGGAAGUCAGGGAACAUCUUGUGUAUUUGAUCUCCUUUGUUUUCUAUGUGGGCUCUGGGGAUCACGCUCAGGUCUGACAUCAGACUUGGGAGCAAGUGUCUUUUUCUUUGAGCAAUCUUACUGCCAAUUAAAAUACUUUUUUUGUUA